AGAGUUUGAUCCAUGGCUCAGGAUGAACGCUGGCGGCGUGCUUAACACAUGCAAGUCGAACGAUGAAGCCCAGCUUGCUGGGUGGAUUAGUGGCGAACGGGUGAGUAACACGUGAGUAACCUGCCCUUGACUCUGGGAUAAGCCUGGGAAACUGGGUCUAAUACCGGAUAGGAACGUCCACCGCAUGGUGGUUGUUGGAAAGAUUUAUCGGUCAUGGAUGGACUCGCGGCCUAUCAGCUUGUUGGUGGGGUAAUGGCUCACCAAGGCGACGACGGGUAGCCGGCCUGAGAGGGUGACCGGCCACACUGGGACUGAGACACGGCCCAGACUCCUACGGGAGGCAGCAGUGGGGAAUAUUGCACAAUGGGCGAAAGCCUGAUGCAGCGACGCCGCGUGAGGGAUGACGGCCUUCGGGUUGUAAACCUCUUUCAGUAGGGAAGAAGCGAAAGUGACGGUACCUGCAGAAGAAGCACCGGCUAACUACGUGCCAGCAGCCGCGGUAAUACGUAGGGUGCGAGCGUUAUCCGGAAUUAUUGGGCGUAAAGAGCUCGUAGGCGGUUUGUCGCGUCUGUCGUGAAAGUCCGGGGCUUAACCCCGGAUCUGCGGUGGGUACGGGCAGACUAGAGUGCAGUAGGGGAGACUGGAAUUCCUGGUGUAGCGGUGGGAAUGCGCAGAUAUCAGGAGGAACACCGAUGGCGAAGGCAGGUCUCUGGGCUGUAACUGACGCUGAGGAGCGAAAGCAUGGGGAGCGAACAGGAUUAGAUACCCUGGUAGUCAUGCCGUAAACGUUGGGCACUAGGUGUGGGGACCAUUCCACGGUUUCCGCGCCGCAGCUAACGCAUUAAGUGCCCCGCCUGGGGAGUACGGCCGCAAGGCUAAAACUCAAAGGAAUUGACGGGGGCCCGCACAAGCGGCGGAGCAUGCGGAUUAAUUCGAUGCAACGCGAAGAACCUUACCAAGGCUUGACAUGUUCUCGAUCGCCGUAGAGAUACGGUUUCCCCUUUGGGGCGGGAUCACAGGUGGUGCAUGGUUGUCGUCAGCUCGUGUCGUGAGAUGUUGGGUUAAGUCCCGCAACGAGCGCAACCCUCGUUCCAUGUUGCCAGCACGUCAUGGUGGGGACUCAUGGGAGACUGCCGGGGUCAACUCGGAGGAAGGUGGGGACGACGUCAAAUCAUCAUGCCCCUUAUGUCUUGGGCUUCACGCAUGCUACAAUGGCCGGUACAAUGGGUUGCGAUACUGUGAGGUGGAGCUAAUCCCAAAAAGCCGGUCUCAGUUCGGAUUGGGGUCUGCAACUCGACCCCAUGAAGUCGGAGUCGCUAGUAAUCGCAGAUCAGCAACGCUGCGGUGAAUACGUUCCCGGGCCUUGUACACACCGCCCGUCAAGUCACGAAAGUCGGUAACACCCGAAGCCGGUGGCCUAACCCUUGUGGGGGGGGCCGUCGAAGGUGGGACCAGCGAUUGGGACUAAGUCGUAUCAAGGUAGCCGUA
rnacentral:rRNA from 1 species